ensembl:misc_RNA Metazoa_SRP Metazoan signal recognition particle RNA
GCCGGGCACGGUGGUGCAUGCCUGUAGUCCCAGCUACUCAGGAGGCUGAGGCUGGAGGAUCUCUUGAGUCCAGGAGUUCUAAGCUGUAGUGCACUAUGCCUAUCGGGUGUCUGUACUAAGUUCGGCAAAAAAUAUGGUGACCUCCCGGGAGCGGGGGACCACCAGGUUGCCUAAGGAGGGGUGAACUGGCCCAGGUCAGAAAUGGAGCAGGUCAAAACUCCUGUGCUGAUCUGUAGUGGGAUUGUGCUGUGAAUAGCCACUGUACUCCAGCCUGGGCAACAUAGCGAGACCCCGUCUCUU